rnacentral:rRNA from 1 species
GCGGCGUGCUUAACACAUGCAAGUCGAACGGUGAAGCCAAGCUUGCUUGGUGGAUCAGUGGCGAACGGGUGAGUAACACGUGAGCAACCUGCCCUGGACUCUGGGAUAAGCGCUGGAAACGGCGUCUAAUACUGGAUAUGUGACGUGAUCGCAUGGUCGUGUUUGGAAAGAUUUUUCGGUCUGGGAUGGGCUCGCGGCCUAUCAGCUUGUUGGUGAGGUAAUGGCUCACCAAGGCGUCGACGGGUAGCCGGCCUGAGAGGGUGACCGGCCACACUGGGACUGAGACACGGCCCAGACUCCUACGGGAGGCAGCAGUGGGGAAUAUUGCACAAUGGGCGGAAGCCUGAUGCAGCAACGCCGCGUGAGGGAUGACGGCCUUCGGGUUGUAAACCUCUUUUAGCAGGGAAGAAGCGAAAGUGACGGUACCUGCAGAAAAAGCGCCGGCUAACUACGUGCCAGCAGCCGCGGUAAUACGUAGGGCGCAAGCGUUAUCCGGAAUUAUUGGGCGUAAAGAGCUCGUAGGCGGUUUGUCGCGUCUGCUGUGAAAUCCCGAGGCUCAACCUCGGGCCUGCAGUGGGUACGGGCAGACUAGAGUGCGGUAGGGGAGAUUGGAAUUCCUGGUGUAGCGGUGGAAUGCGCAGAUAUCAGGAGGAACACCGAUGGCGAAGGCAGAUCUCUGGGCCGUAACUGACGCUGAGGAGCGAAAGGGUGGGGAGCAAACAGGCUUAGAUACCCUGGUAGUCCACCCCGUAAACGUUGGGAACUAGUUGUGGGGACCAUUCCACGGUUUCCGUGACGCAGCUAACGCAUUAAGUUCCCCGCCUGGGGAGUACGGCCGCAAGGCUAAAACUCAAAGGAAUUGACGGGGACCCGCACAAGCGGCGGAGCAUGCGGAUUAAUUCGAUGCAACGCGAAGAACCUUACCAAGGCUUGACAUAUACGAGAACGGGCCAGAAAUGGUCAACUCUUUGGAC